rnacentral:rRNA from 1 species
CCUACGGGCGGCAGCAGUGGGGAAUAUUGCACAAUGGGCGCAAGCCUGAUGCAGCCAUGCCGCGUGUGUGAAGAAGGCCUUCGGGUUGUAAAGCACUUUCAGCGGGGAGGAAGGCGGUGAGGUUAAUAACCUCAUCGAUUGACGUUACCCGCAGAAGAAGCACCGGCUAACUCCGUGCCAGCAGCCGCGGUAAUACGGAGGGUGCAAGCGUUAAUCGGAAUUACUGGGCGUAAAGCGCACGCAGGCGGUCUGUCAAGUCGGAUGUGAAAUCCCCGGGCUCAACCUGGGAACUGCAUUCGAAACUGGCAGGCUAGAGUCUUGUAGAGGGGGAGCAGAAUUCCACGUGUAGCGGUGAAAUGCGUAGAGAUGUGGAGGAACACCAGUGGCGAAGGCGGCUCUCUGGCCUGUAACUGACGCUGAGGCGCGAAAGCGUGGGGAGCGAACAGGAUUAGAUACCCGGGUAGUC